rnacentral:sRNA from 1 species
UGCAUAAUAUUGUAAGAGAAAAAGAUGG